rnacentral:lncRNA from 1 species
UAAUAACCCAUCUCUUUAGGUCAGGUACGGAGACCUCAUAAUGCCAUGUCAAGUUCCAAGCAACGGCAAAGCAAGUAUGUUAUUUUGGAUAUUUAUUAUGUUUGCUGGACAUUGCAAGGUUUUGUUAUUUUAAGAACUAGAUUUCUGCAUGUUAGUAAAUUAUUGUUCCGCUGCGUAUUUAGAACUGUGAGACCUUAUGACUUGA